rnacentral:lncRNA from 1 species
GUUGAGAUAUGGUUUGUUGGCACCCAGUUGGCUGAACCUAUCUUAUGCAAGAUAUCAUAUUUUAUAGUUAAUUUGCCAGCAGAUAGAUGCUUUUUGCUUGGCCAUUCCUUGACUUGACCAACAAUGAUUGUCCUACAGACUUCAUUGUCUGUGGCCUCUAACUCAACAGCUCCUUCAGUUCCUCUUCCUAGGAACUUAUUGAUUACAGUUGAGGAGAACCU